rnacentral:misc_RNA from 1 species
CCAGUCCAUUGUUUUAUUACUGACAAUACUGUUUUAAGCUAUAAUUAAUAAGAAAAACAAAAAUUUAUUCAAUUUCUAUAUUAAGGUAUACACGAUUACUAACAAUUACAACUUCAUGCCAUUGAGUGUCGGGCAAAUCCAAACUGAAAUCUGCUUUAUGGUAUUUUGCUUGGCUUUUUUGAGUUAUUGUUGCAAACUUGUAACCUAAAACAUAAGAGCGAUAACGAUUUAAUGCAAUCUUUGCCUUCCUCCAACUUAUAACUGGCAAUCUUAUCCGAAUCCCUACCACUAAAUACUGGCAACGAUAAUAAGGAUUUAAGCUCGCUACAAUACUUGUCCUUCUCUCAGACAUCACACUUAGUAAUCUACAUUAUUUCCUAACUAAAAACUAUUUACUANAUGCAGAUCGUUUAUAAAAUAGGCUGCUGAAAAAUACAAUCCUGUUUAAUCCUUGCACUUUAGCGAAACAACUUCGGGUUUUAUCGAAAGCUUGCUUUUGCUUCUAGACAUUUUUCUUAAUAUCAACAGAUCUCAACUUAACCCAGAAAUUUUAACUUCUUGUGUUUCACAUUCCAACAAUUACUUUA